rnacentral:rRNA from 1 species
AUUGAACGCUGGCGGCAUGCCUUACACAUGCAAGUCGAACGGCAGCAUGGAAGAGCUUGCUCUUCUGAUGGCGAGUGGCGAACGGGUGAGUAAAGCAUCGGAACGUACCGUGUAGUGGGGGAUAACGUAGCGAAAGUUACGCUAAUACCGCAUACGCACUGAGGUGGAAAGCAGGGGAUCGCAAGACCUUGCGCUAUACGAGCGGCCGAUGUCAGAUUAGCUAGUUGGUAGGGUAAAGGCCUACCAAGGCGACGAUCCGUAGCGGGUCUGAGAGGAUGAUCCGCCACACUGGGACUGAGACACGGCCCAGACUCCUACGGGAGGCAGCAGUGGGGAAUUUUGGACAAUGGCGCAAGCCUGAUCCAGCCAUGCCGCGUGAGUGAAGAAGGCCU